rnacentral:lncRNA from 1 species
GGGAGAAAGAGCACCGCUUGCGUCUUUGUGACUGCUAAUCUCCAAGCUUCAUCAGAGUGUAAAUUGAUAGCUUCGAAAGAGAUUAGCAGCCACUGCAUAGAAUUUGUCACAUUGAAAGAUUUUUAAGCUGUAAUACUAUCUUCCGUUUAUGCUCUUUGGUUGUAGGUUACAACUGUUUCGUAAAGGAAAGAAGGAUACAUCAAUAGGAGAGGUAUAA